rnacentral:misc_RNA from 1 species
UGCGAGGUUCACAAAAUGGAA